rnacentral:rRNA from 1 species
CCUACGGGUAGCAGCAGUGGGGAAUAUUGGACAAUGGGCGAAAGCCUGAUCCAGCCAUGCCGCGUGUGUGAAGAAGGCCUUCGGGUUGUAAAGCACUUUCAGUGGGGAAGAAAGCCUUGGGGCUAAUACCCUCGAGGAAGGACAUCACCCACAGAAGAAGCACCGGCUAACUCCGUGCCAGCAGCCGCGGUAAUACGGAGGGUGCGAGCGUUAAUCGGAAUUACUGGGCGUAAAGCGCGCGUAGGCGGUCUGAUAAGCCGGUUGUGAAAGCCCCGGGCUCAACCUGGGAACGGCAUCCGGAACUGUCAGGCUAGAGUGCAGGAGAGGAAGGUAGAAUUCCCGGUGUAGCGGUGAAAUGCGUAGAGAUCGGGAGGAAUACCAGUGGCGAAGGCGGCCUUCUGGACUGACACUGACGCUGAGGUGCGAAAGCGUGGGUAGCAAACAGGAUUAGAUACCCGUGUAGUC